CGGCUCGAAUGUUUGUCUUCAAUGGAGAUUUUUCUCUUGCCAGUGUUAACUUUCAGGGUUUAAAAAUUAAAAGAAUGGGAGCAAAGAUCUUAGUUUUUGAUUAAGCUCACAUUUUCAUUUUCCACACCUAAACCUCCAUUAAGAAAGAGUUUUGGGUUAAAGUGGUCCUUCAGAUUUUUCACCUCUCAUCUUGGCUCCUAAUCCAAAUGAAGAAAAUUCACUCUUUCUGAUCAUGAAACAUCCUUUGCCAAAGCGAUGAGGUGCAAUGCAAGCUGAACAAAAAAUUAAAGAACUAGUCGAAGGAGAAAAAAAUGACUCGGAGAUACUUUGGGAUUAGAUAUUUGGGGUUCAUUACUACUUAAUUUGCUAAGUGAAAUUUCCCUGGAGGAAAAGCCCAGGGUAGCCCGAAGAUGCCAAAAGCACAAGUGAUCUCGCCGGCCGCUUCCACUCUCUUGACUAAAGGAGGCAGCUGGCCUCUGUGACAGGGUGGAGAUUCAAGGCUGCUGUCACACACCUGCUGAAUUCCUACCGCAAGAAUCUAAACAAAUGAAAAAAGAAAAAACAAAUCAUCCACACCUGUGACUACCAAGCACUCGAGGCUUCUGUGCGGCACCGUGCACACCUGGGAAGCCUGGGCGGUCAGUUGCAGCGCCAGAGGAAGACACCACUGCCAGCCCGUUGAAAAGGAGGCUCAAGUGUCCAGCUCUGUCAGAUCUUGGCCCCUGGUUGCAGACAUCUCUGAGACUUGCUCCUUUGGUCACAUGGACUCAGCAGUGGUCACAGGACUCACACAGUGGUGUGGAGCUGCUCAGUGAAGCAGGCGAUUUCUCUGUAAUGUUUGUUCACCUUCUAUCAGUACAAGCAAAAGUCCCUUUAUAACAAAGGUACUAUGAAAACUCUCUGUUAUACUAAAUUCUUGUUAUAUCAAAUAUCGACUUGAAAGAAAGGACAACCUAACAGGUAGCUGUGGGUAUAUAUUUGCUCCAAACACACAUGAUGUUUUUUAUCAUUCUUUGUCAUGAUGAUGACUGUCUACAUCUUGCUCUCUGUGAUUUUUUUGGCUUGACAAUUCUACUAAUUACCAUGAGAAAAUAUUCUUAAAAAGUAUACAAUAUUUGACCUAACCUCAGUCGGACAUGACUGAAGCGACUUAGCAACAGCAGCAGCAGCAGCUUCAGCCACAUCACAGGAAGUCCAAAAGAUGUAAGAGAGGAAAAAUGAGGAUAGUAUUUGUUUGCUAAAUUUUCAGUAAUUAGCUGAAAUAAUAAUUCAUUUUUAAUUUCUUGAAAGAUACAUAAAAAGGAGGACUUCAUCAAAAUUGUUAUAUGAUUCUAUCAAUGUAAAAAACUUUGAGAAGCUACGAUGCUACAUUAAUAAAAUUUUUAUGUAUUGCUCAAAUGAAACAGUGUACAAUCCUCUCAGUGUCCACACGUCUCCAUAGUAUCAAUUUAUCAUUAUUUGAACAAAGUCUCUCCAUAUUACUACCCUAAACAAACUAGGGAGCAAAGAAGCUUAACCAAGUUUUUUUAUCCUUCUAAGACAGAUCUGAAUCAGCUACUCCUUACUACUUUUCUCUGCUUCCUAAUUUAUCCUUGAGGGAGAAGCUUAGAGAACAGAAAGUCCUAUGCAGUGGUCCCAACUUCUAUGUGUUCUAGAAUAACAAAGCCUUACAAAGAAUCUCUGCCCCUGGACUGACCAAAUCCUGGAGUCAAUUGUCAAGUCUCUUAAAAGAGGAUCUUUCUUGAACAUUUCAUUUUUUGAACCCAUGAGUUUUACUACUGACUUAGCAACAACUGAGGAUGAGAUGGCUGGAUGGCAUCACGGACUCGAUGGACGUGAGUCUGAGUGAACUCCGGGAGUUGGUGAUGGACAGGGAGGCCUGGUGUGCUGCAAUUCAUGGGGUCGCAAAGAGUCGGACACGACUGAGUGACUGAACUGAACUAGCAACAAAAAAGGGAAGCAAUGACCAUGCAGAUGUGUGGGUGAACAAAUAAGAAAGAAAUUCAUUUGAGUCCAUUUUGUGAGAUAAUACUUGCAAUUGGAAGAAAAUCACCCAAUAUGCUUCUGAAAAAUGAAUGACUUCUGCAAAUUCUAAUUGAUCACCAAGGCAAGCAGAGUAAAACAAAAGACUCUUGACAUUUGGGGGAACUUUUAAAAAUAUCUGAUAUCAGACUUGCAUAUAUCUUUGGCUACACUUUGGAAGUAUGAGAGGCUGUCAAAACAGCAAUAAGAUGAGUAGACAUGCUCAACUUUAUCAACAUCUUUCAUGAAAGAGGGAAUAAGAUGACAUAGUGUAUGUGAGUAGGGGUAAUGGGAUUCUGACAUUUUCACCAGAAAAAGAGAGAUCCCCCUUGAGCCUAGGUCAAAACCAGGGGUAGUUCCUGGUGCUUCAGGAGAGUAGACUUCUAUUUUCUUUCAACAAUGCAAGAUUUAGUUUCUGCUACAUAUUCUUAUAGGAUAAAAUGAAUAAAAUAAAUUGUACAUUCUUUUCUUUCUUCAUUUCAUUAUAUUCUAAGAGAAUCCAUAAUAUCUUUUUGGGUCCCAAUGACAGUCAUGUGCCGGGUACUACUAAGUAAGCCUCACUUUUUCUCUUGGCAUUUCCUCACUUCUUAAUUCAUCACAUAGUAAAACUGAAUAUCCAAACUGUAUUUGUCAGCUUAUAAAUAAUAUUUUAAAAACUUAAUACUUUGUAAUACAAGGUUUUAUGAUAUUGUACAUUCAUUAUUAAAUUACAUUUU
rnacentral:lncRNA from 1 species